CGGUUGCGGUUUAAGUUCUUAUA
rnacentral:siRNA from 1 species